GGACCGGUAGCGCAGCCUGGAUAGCGCACACCAACAUAGGAAAUCCUACUUGGGCACAGUUCCCUCCUAAGGAAGGGGUCGUGAGUUCGAAUCUCAUCCGGUCCG
rnacentral:tRNA from 1 species